AUUGAACGCUGGCGGCAUGCCUUACACAUGCAAGUCGAACGGCAGCACGGGAGCAACCCUGGUGGCGAGUGGCGAACGGGUGAGUAAUGUAUCGGAACGUGCCCAGUCGUGGGGGAUAACGCAGCGAAAGCUGUGCUAAUACCGCAUACGAUCUAUGGAUGAAAGCGGGGGAUCGCAAGACCUCGCGCGAUUGGAGUGGCCGAUGUCAGAUUAGCUAGUUGGUGGGGUAAAAGCUUACCAAGGCGACGAUCUGUAGCUGGUCUGAGAGGACGACCAGCCACACUGGAACUGAGACACGGUCCAGACUCCUACGGGAGGCAGCAGUGGGGAAUUUUGGACAAUGGGCGCAAGCCUGAUCCAGCAAUGCCGCGUGCAGGAUGAAGGCCUUCGGGUUGUAAACUGCUUUUGUACGGAGCGAAAAGGCUCUCUCUAAUACAGGGGGCUCAUGACGGUACCGUAAGAAUAAGCACCGGCUAACUACGUGCCAGCAGCCGCCGUAACAC
rnacentral:rRNA from 1 species